UGGGGAAUAUUGCACAAUGGGCGAAAGCCUGAUGCAGCAACGCCGCGUGAAGGAAGAAGGGUUUCGGCUCGUAAACUUCUAUCAAUAGGGAAGAAACAAAUGACAGUACCUAACUAAGAAGCCCCGGCUAACUACGUGCCAGCAGCCGCGGUAAUACGUAGGGGGCAAGCGUUAUCCGGAAUUACUGGGUGUAAAGGGUGAGUAGGCGGCAAUGUAAGUAAGAUGUGAAAGCCCGCAGCUUAACUGGCGGGAUUGCAUUUUUAAACUAUGUAGCUAGAGUACAGGAGAGGAAAGCGGAAUUCCUAGUGUAGCGGUGAAAUGCGUAGAUAUUAGGAAGAACACCAGUGGCGAAGGCGGCUUUCUGGACUGAAACU
rnacentral:rRNA from 1 species